GGAGGGUUGUGAUAAUUGGUAGUCGGGCGGUCUUGAAAACCGUUGGGGAGUAAUCCCUUCAGGGUUCGAGUCCCUGACCCUCCGCCA
rnacentral:tRNA from 1 species